rnacentral:rRNA from 1 species
UACGUAGGGUGCACGCGUUAAUCGGAAUUACUGGGCGUAAAGCGUGCGCAGGCGGUUAUGUAAGACAGGUGUGAAAUCCCCGGGCUUAACCUGGGAACUGCAUUUGUGACUGCAUAGCUAGAGUACGGUAGAGGGGGAUGGAAUUCCGCGUGUAGCAGUGAAAUGCGUAGAUAUGCGGAGGAACACCGAUGGCGAAGGCAAUCCCCUGGACCUGUACUGACGCUCAUGCACGAAAGCGUGGGGAGCAAACAGG